rnacentral:sRNA from 1 species
GCCGGGCGUGGUGGCGGGCGCCUGUAGUCCCAGCUACUCGGAGGCUGAGGCGGGAGAAUGGCGUGAACCCGGGAGGUGGAGCUUGCAGUGAGCCGAGAUCGCGCCACUGCACUCCAGCCUGGGUGACACAGCGAGACUCCGUCUCAA